AAGUCGUAACAAGGUUUCCGUAGGUGAACCUGCGGAAGGAUCAUUAACGAAUCUGGUUCUUUUUUUGGGGGGAGGAUGGUCCUUUCGGGUCAUGCCACCACCCCAUAUUAACCCGGGCCCGUGCAGCGAUGCCGGGCAAGGUGUGUGUGGCGUGGGUUGGAUGGAGGGCCUUUGCGCCCAAAGACGACCCGCCCACACGCGGUGAGGAUCAAUGCCCAUGAAAGGCAUUGAUCCGAUCCACAUGGACGCUUGUAUGUUUGACAGAGUUGGUUGACACUUAAAUGACAACUUUUAACAAUGGAUCUCUUGGCUCUU
rnacentral:misc_RNA from 1 species